rnacentral:rRNA from 1 species
CAGCCGUAAACUAUGCGCGUUAGGUGUAUCGGUGACCACGAGUCACCGAGGUGCCGAAGGGAAACCGUGAAACGUGCCGCCUGGGAAGUACGGUCGCAAGGCUGAAACUUAAAGGAAUUGGCGGGGGAGCACAACAACGGGUGGAGCCUGCGGUUUAAUUGGACUCAACGCCGGACAACUCACCGGGGGACGACAGCAAUAUGUAGGCCAGGCUGAAGACCUUGCCUGAAUCGCUGAGAGGAGGUGCAUGGCGUAGACGUCU